rnacentral:rRNA from 1 species
AGUGAACGCUGGCGGUAGGCCUAACACAUGCAAGUCGAACGGCAGCACAGUAAGAGCUUGCUCUUACGGGUGGCGAGUGGCGGACGGGUGAUGAAUACAUCGGAAUCUACUUUUUCGUGGGGGAUAACGUAGGGAAACUUACGCUAAUACCGCAUACGACCUACGGGUGAAAGCAGGGGAUCUUCGGACCUUGCGCGAUUGAAUGAGCCGAUGUCGGAUUAGCUAGUUGGCGGGGUAAAGGCCCACCAAGGCGACGAUCCGUAGCUGGUCUGAGAGGAUGAUCAGCAACACUGGAACUGAGACACGGUCCAGACUCCUACGGGAGGCAGCAGUGGGGAAUAUUGGACAAUGGGCGCAAGCCUGAUCCAGACAUACCGCGUGGGUGAAGAAGGCCUUCGGGUUGUAAAGCCCUUUUGUUGGGAAAGAAAAGCAGCAGGUUAAUACCCCGCUGUUCUGACGGUACCCAAAGAAUAAGCACCGGCUAACUUCGUG